UGGGUAACCUGCCUCAAAGAGGGGAAUAGCCUCCCCGAAAAGGGAGAUUAAUACUGCAUAAUAUGUUUAAGUCGCAUGACUUUAACAUCAAAGGAUUUUCUUUUAGAACUUCCACUUUGAGAUGGACCCGCGGCGCAUUAGCUAGUUGGUGAGGUAACGGCUCACCAAGGCAACGAUGCGUAGCCGACCUGAGAGGGUNAUCGGCCACAUUGGAACUGAGACACGGUCCAGACCUCUACGGGAG
rnacentral:rRNA from 1 species